rnacentral:lncRNA from 1 species
UUUGCUUUCUGCACAUUUUUGUUAAAUCUAUUUGUUAGUUGAGAUGCAGAAGCUUCUGAUUUAAUUUAUUUGUUGAUGCGUUGAAUGUCUGAUUGAGAUAACAAAAUCGUCUUUACUUUUCUCUUUGCUAUGAAUUUGUGAGUGUGUGAGUGUUGAGAUGCCUUUGAUUUUGGUUUUCGCUUUAUGUGUUUUAUGUUGAAGAGGGGGCUGUGACACUUUGUCGGAGGGAGUAUCUGUAAAAUACAAGUCUAAUUUAGGCUUCGAUGAUCAGCCUGCUGCACAAGCUAUCACUUCACAGACUAUGGGUUGCAAUCUUCAAACGUCAACACUAAACACCCUACAAAACCCAGACUUGAAUUUUGAUCUUCUAUUCUGUUUUCUUCUUCGUGGAUGAUAUGCUCACUGUUGCUGAUAUGCUCAAUUGUUAUUUUCUUCUUCGCAGACUAUUCUGUUUUCUUCUUCGUGGAUGAUAUGCCCAACACUUAACACUAGCUUGGAAACUAACGACAGUUGCUGAUAUGCUCAGUUUAAUUUCCUCAGUGAUGGAAUAUCAGACACUUGAUCUUCUAUUAUGCUCAUUUUAAACAUAACCACUCUUUGCUGUCUGUGUGUUG